CAACCAUCUUUCCUGUGAAAAAUUCCCUCUCCUAGUACUUUAGUUCUGUGGAUCCAAAAUUUAUAGCAUUCUUCUACCACCACAGGGGCUCAUAUGACAUUAACAGACAAGACACUUUUCAGAAAGACAGGUAAGUCAUUUGUUAAAAUCUCACUACUGUUGUUUAACAGAAACAUAUAUAUGCAUGUAUAUGUGUGUACUGUAUGGAAAAAGUGGAAUUAGAGUUUAUCUAGAAAAGAAAAAAUUACCUCAUCUAAGUGCAGAAAUGAAUAAUACUUAAACCAUACCAUACAAUUCUCUAUCAUAUUUCCACAGAUAAGUCAAAAAAUUUUAAAAUCUUAUUGUUCAUGCAUAAAUGCAGAAAACAAUACCUCUAGUAUAUGUUUGUGUUCUAUUGUACUUUCACAGAAGGUGUUUGAUACUUAAUACUAUGUUUAUUAAGAAAAAUCUUUGCAAUGGUUAUGGAAUUAAAAUUUCAUGUAAAAAUGAUUAUGUAGAUCAAGAAAAGUUGCAAUUUUCUGGAUUCCUGAUAUUUUAAAUAAAAGUAGUUUCCAAAGG
rnacentral:antisense_RNA from 1 species